AACCCUAAUAGCACAAUUUGCUUGAGCAAAAGUUUACUGUACAAAAGUUUUGUUGAAUUUUUCCUCAAAUUUCCGUCAACUUUGGACUUUUCCAUUUUUUAUGACAUGUUGUAUGCAACUUACAACUGAAUUUGACGUAAAUUUGAAUGCAAAUUGCCCGAAUUUGAAUGCAAAUUCACUUCAAAAGUUGACUAGAAAAAAGUUGUCUUUAAUUUUUAGGCAAAUUUUAUGUCAAUUUAUCGUUAAUUUGACUUAAAAAAUUGUUAAGUAUAUUUUUACGCUCAAAUUGUAGACAAUUUUACGUAUAAAUUUGCAGGUAUUAUCGAAAUACGAUGAUAAAAAUUCCGAAUUGCUGAAAGUACAGUUUUUGGGAAUUAUAGCAAAAUAUGUUCAGAGGGGUCUGGCAAUACUGUAUAACCGACAAAAAAGUGGCAUUUUUUUUGGCCCCGUAAAAAAAAUCUUAUGUCGGACCAUAUAUGAGCAUUCAUAUAAGGCUAUGUCUGAUCAUAUAUGAUUAUAUAUGAUCAACAUAUAGUUAUUGUUUACUCAUUACUAAUUUUUCUAUCGAUGAAAAAGUGUUCGGUAUUUUUCUGGGAACCUGGAUCCUUCUGUGUAUCAGUCGGAGCUUGUACCACUCUGCCAAACCAUGAACUUAAUAGUUGGGACUAUUCAAUAGAUCACAAGAGAAAAUUAAAAAAUUUGAAGAAACUUAAUAAAAUUUUAUAUAAUUUUUUAUAAUUAUCAUCGAGGCCGACAAAUAUUGUUUUUAUAAAAUUUCAUAUAAGUUCAUGGAGUUUUUUUAAAUUUUGUAAAAAUCCAUCACGAAAACUUAUGAACUCUGUCUUUACCGGCAUUUCACUCUAAAUACAUCAAUUAAGCACAUGACUUGAACUCUCGUGAUGUGGACCAGUGAUCAAUGUUCAGGACUACCAGCCAAGAGGAGCGCCGUGUUCGAACUCAGCAGACGUCCAGGAUUUUUUCAUCAUUUACUUCUAUCAAUUCUUCUUUCUGAAUUUGUAAUGCGUUCGCGCGAUUAUAACCAAAUCAAAAAUUCGGUAUUUAAUUUUUUUAUUUUAUUUUAGUUUUUUUUUUUUCAAAAAUAUUUUUUAAUGAUAACUUGAUUAUAUAUAAUUAUUUAUGAAAAAUGGCCAAAUACAAUUAUAUAUAUUUAUAUAUGAUUAUAUUUGGCCAUUUUUCAUAUAUGAUUAUAUAUAAUCGAGUUAUAUAUAAGUCCCACAACCGGAACCACCUGAAAAGUUGUGGAAUAGAUAUUAAUUUGUUGUCACAAAUUCUCAGGAAAAUCAAAAUAUGCAUGGUUUUCAUAAAACAACUUUAAAGUUUUAAAACUCG